GAUGAACGCUGACAGAAUGCUUAACACAUGCAGGUCGAUGGGGAAGUGGUGCUUGCACCAUGGUAACCAUGGCGGACGGGUGAGUAACGCGUAAGGAACUUGCCUGCGGGACUGGGAUAACAGCAGGAAACUGCUGAUAAUACCGGAUAAGGUCAUUAAGCUGCAUAGCUUAGUGAUGAAAGGAGACGCCUGCGGAGAGCCUUGCGUCCUAUUAGCUAGUUGGAGGGGUAACGGCCCACCAAGGCGAAGAUAGGUAGCCGGCCUGAGAGGGUGGACGGCCACAAGGGGACUGAGAUACGGCCCUUACUCCUACGGGAGGCAGCAGUGGGGAAUAUUGGACAAUGGGGGCAACCCUGAUCCAGCAAUUCUGUGUGCACGAAGACGGUUUUCGGAUUGUAAAGUGCUUUCAGCAGGGAAGAAGGAAGUGACGGUACCUGCAGAAGAAGCGACGGCUAAAUACGUG
rnacentral:rRNA from 1 species